GCCCGGGGGCACCGCAUGCUGCAGCUGCCCCCGGGCACCCCCGUCGCCGCCCUCGCCGCAGAGCCGCGCUGAGCGAGCCGGCUAGCUAAGCGGAGCCGGCUAGCUAACCCGAGCCAGCCGGCGGGCGUCCCGGAGGCAGCGGCGCAGGGAGGGGCCCGACGCGCGCACGUGGCCCCCGCGGCAGCCUCGGCUGACAGCGGCACGACGGGGCCGGGGGGGGGGGGGGGGGGGCGGCAGUGGCUGCCCAGGACCACGCGUCCACUUUCAGAGCCCCCCCGCGGGGCCGAAGGAGAGGGCCCGGGCGGUGCGGAUAAUGAGGGCCCAGUGAGGCGCCAAGGGAAGGUCACCGUCAAGUAUGACCGCAAGGAGCUACGGAAGCGCCUCAACCUAGAGGAGUGGAUCCUGGAGCAGCUCACGCGCCUCUACGACUGCCAGGAAGAGGAGAUCCCAGAACUGGAGAUUGACGUGGAUGAGCUCCUGGACAUGGAGAGUGACGAUGCCCGGGCUGCCAGGGUCAAGUAGCUGCUGGUUGACUGUUAAAAACCCACAGAGGCCUUCAUCUCUGGCCUGCUGGACAAGAUCCUGCCCAUGCAGAAGCUGAGCACACCCCAGAAGAAGUGAGGGUCCCCGACCCAGGCGAACGGUGGCUCCCAUAGGACAAUCGCUGCCCCCCGACCUCGUAGCAACAGCAAUACCGGGGGACCCUGCGGCCAGGGCUCCUCAUGCCCCUGGCCCAGGGGUCUCUUCCCCUACCCCCUCAGUUUUCCACUUUUGGGGUUUUUUGUUAUUAAACUGAUGGGACUUUUUGUGUUUUUAUACUGACUCUGCGGCACGGGUCCUUUAAUAAAGCUAGGAUACGCCUUUGGUGCAGCUCAAAAAAAAAAAAAAAAUGAUUUCCAGCGGUCCACAUUAGAGUUGAAAUUUUCUGGUGGGAGAAUCUGUACCUUGUUUCUUUAUAGGCCAAAGACCGCAAUCCUUCAGUAACACCAGAGUAAGAACUUGAGGAGAAAUUGUGAAGCUACACAGUAUUUGUUUUCUAAUACCUCUUGUCAGUCAUUCUAAAUCUCUUUAUUUAAAAAUAUAUAUAUACAGUAUUGAAUGCCUACUGUGUGCUAGGUACAGUUCUAAGCGCUUGAGUUACAGCAGUGAACGAAAUAAAGGUGCCUACCCUCAUAGAACAUAGAUUCUAGCAUGGUAUCUACUGUAUCAUACAGUAGAUACAAUAAGUAAGCUAUAUUGAAUAUUAGAAUGUGGCAGAUGCUAUGGAAAAAGAGUCAAGCCAAGUAAAGACAAUUGUUUAGGGUACCAGUUGCAAUUUUAAAUAUGGUCAUCAGAGCAGGCCUCACUGAAGUGACACGACAUUUAAGCAUAAACAUGGAGGAGGAGGAAUAAGCCUGAGCUGUCUUAGGCUUCCGGGGCAGCCAAGCCGUUUCUGUGGCACUAGGAGCCUGGUGUUUCCGAUUCCACCUCUGAUAACUGCAUUUUCUCUAAGGCAUGGGAGGGAAGUUUUUCUCCUAUUGUUUUUAAGUUUUAACUCCAGCUAGGCCAGCCUUGUCAUAGUGUUAUCUAAUCUUUAUAGCAAAUAUAUGAGGUAGCAGUAACAUUAUGCCCAUUUCUCACAGAGGCACUACUAGGUGAAGGAGUUUGCCUGAGGUUAUACAACCAGGAAGUAGCUGAGCCUAGAUUCCUUCCACCCACCCAUGGCCCUGCUCAUAUUCCACCUGCCUCUAAUUUACCUCUUUUCCUUCCAGACCAGCAUUCUCGAAACUGGAGGACUCCUUUGAGGCCCUCUCCCUAUACCUGGGGGAGCUGGGCAUCCCGCUGCCUGCAGAGCUGGAAGAGUUGGACCACACUGUGAGCAUGCAGUACGGCCUGACCCGGGACUCACCUCCCUAGCCCUGGCCCAGCCCCCUGCAGGGGGGUGUUCUACAGCCAGCAUUGCCCCUCUGCGCCCCAUCCCUGCUGUGAGCAGGGCCGUCCAGGCUUCCUGUGGAUUGGCGGCCUGUUUAGAAGCAGAACAAGCCAUUCCUACUACCUCCCCAGGAGGCAAGUGGGCGCAGCACCAGGGAAAUGUAUCUCCACAGGUUCUGGGGCCUAGUUACUGUCUGUAAAUCCAAUACUUGCCUGAAAGCUGUGAAGAAGAAAAAAACCCCUGGCCUUUGGGCCAGGAGGAAUCUGUUACUCAAAUCCACCCAGGAACUCCCUGGCAGUGGAUUGUGGGAGGCUCUUGCUUACACUAAUCAGCGUGGCCUGGACCUGCUGGGCAGGAUCCCAGGGUGAACCUGCCUGUGAACUCUGAAGUCACUAGUCCAGCUGGGUGCAAGAAGACUUCAAGUGUGUGGACGAAAGAAAGACUGAUGGCCAGGAGGCACUCAAAGGGUGUGAAAAAGUCAGUGAUGCUCCCCCUUUCCACUCCAGAUCCUGCCCUUCCUGGAGCAAGGUUGAGGGAGUAGGUUUUGAAGAGUCCCUUAAUAUGUGGUGGCACAGGCCAGGAGUUAGAGAAAGGGCUGGCUUCUGUUUACCUGCUCACUGGCUCUAGCCAGCCCAGGGACCACAUCAUGUGAGGGGAAGCCUGCACCUCAUGUUUUCAAGCUUAAUACUGGAGACUGGCUGAGAACUUAUGGACAACAUCCUUUCUGUCUGCAACAAACAGUCACAAGCACAGGAAGAGGCUGAGGGACUAGAAAGAGGCCCUGCCCUCUAGAAAUCUCAGAUCUUGGCUUCUGUUACUCAUACUCUGGUGGGCUCCUUAGAUGCCUAAAACAUUUUGCCUAAAGCUAGAUGGGUUCUGGAGGACAGUGUGGCUUGUCACAGGCCUAGAGUCUGAGGGAGGGGAGUGGGAGUCUCAGCAAUCUCUUGGUCUUAGCCUUGUGGCAACCAUUGCUCACUCUUCAACAUGCCUGGUUUAGGCAGCAGCUUGGGCUGGGAAGAGGUGGUGGCAGAGUCCCAAAGCUGAGAUGCUGAGAGAGAGAGCUCCCUGAGCUGGGCCAUCUGACUUCUACCUCCCAUGUUUGCUCUCCCAACUCAUUAGCUCCUGGGCAGCAUCCUCCUGAGCCACAUCUGCAGGUACUGGAAAACCUCCAUCUUGGCUCCCAGAGCUCUAGGAACUCUUCAUCACAACUAGAUUUGCCUCUUCUAAGUGUCUAUGAGCUUGCACCAUAUUUAAUAAAUUGGGAAUGGGUUUGGGGUAUUAAUGCAAUGUGUAGUGGUUGUAUUGGAGCAGGGGGAAUUGAUAAAGGAGAGUGGUUGCUAUUAUCUUGUUGUUAUAUCUAUUGGGUGGUAUGUGAAAUAUUGUACAUAGACCUGGUGAGUUGUGAGACCAGAUGUCAUCUCUCUGGUCAGAGUUUACUUGCUAUAUAGACUGUACUUACGUGUGAAGUUUGCAAGCUUGCUUUUAGGGCUGAGCCCUGGACUCCCAGCAGCAGCACAGUUCAGCAUUGUGUGGCUGGUUGUUUCCUGGCUGUCCCCAGCAAGUGUAGGAGUGGUGGGCCUGAACUGGGCCAUUGAUCAGACUAAAUAAAUUAAGCAGUUAACAUAA